GUCCAAACCUUGGUGCUCAAACAACGACUAUUUGCUCCUAGAUGAUGUUUUAGCCCCAUAUCUCAUAACUCUAGGUCAAAACUCCCAUGAAUCCUCAUAAAGCUUAAGGAAUAAAGCUUCUCUGGACCUCUAUGGAUCUCAUCCCAAGCCUCAUCACAAAUAGGGACGAAAUGGACAUCAAAUCUAACCAACAAAGGGGUCAAGAAACCCUAACCCCCAUGUUUAUCAUGACAACAGAAAAUGAAGCCAAAAUAUACCUCCAAGAUGAUGCUCUGAGCUCCAAAAUCGAAGGAUGUCCACCUCCCUUGCCUCCUCUUAGCUAGAAUCUCCUUUGCCUUGCCAAACAAAGCUUGAAAGGUCAACAAUGGCCUCUUCUCUCUCCCAAAACGCUCAAAAUCUCUUUAGGGUUUCUCUCUGGGGUUGGUGGCCGCAAAUGACGGCCAUAAGCCCCUUUAAAUAGGUCUCAAACCCUGGAAAUUAGGGUUUCAUUAAACAGCAUGGACUCGCCGAGUCCAUUAAUGGACUCGCCGAGUCCGGACGUGAACCCGGAUGAACAUCCGCAACCCUACUCGACGAGUCUUGGCUCCAACUUGCCGAGUUCCUCCUUAAACACCAAAAUAAUUAAAUAAAAUAAUAUACCUGGGAAAUCAGGAUGUUACAAUUCUCCCCCACUAGAAUCAGACUUCGCCUCGAAGUCUCACUCUGGGAACAACUUCGGAUGCUGCUCAUGCAUCUCGUGCUCCGUCUCCCAAGUAAGCUCCGACCCCUUCCAGUGUUACCACUGGACCUGCACCAGAGGCAACUCUUUGUUCCCCAGAACCUUGAUCUUUCGAUCCCGAAUAGCCACCGGUCUCUCAACGUAGUUCAGGCCCACAUCCACCUGAAUAUCCUCUAAUGGCACUACUGCCGAGUCAUUGGCUAUACACUUUCGCAGCAUUGACACAUGGAAAGUGUCAUGGAUCUGACCUAGCUCUGCAUGUAGCUCCAACCGGUAGGCUACCCUGCCUACCCUCACAAUCACCCGAAAAGGACCGAUAUAUCGGGGCCCCAACUUGCCCCUCUUCCUGAAUCGGAUCACUCCUUUCCAAGGAGAGAUCUUCAGGAGCACGAAGUCACUGACCAAAAAUUCGAGCUCGGACUGGCGCCUGUCCGCAUAACUCUUCUGGCGACUCUGAGCGGUCAACAACCUCUACCUAACCUGUUGUAUCUGCUCUGACGUCUGAAGCACGAUCGUUGUACUUCCCAUCACAUGUUGCCCUACCUCUCCCCAGCAAAUGGGGUCUGAUACCUCCUUCCCUACAACAGCUCAAAGGGUGGCAUACUGAUGCACUAAUGAUGGCUGUUGUUGUAGGAAAACUCUUCCAAGGGCAAAUACGGGCCACAAUUUCCCCCCGAAAUCUAAUACACAUGCCCGAAACAUAUCCUCGAGCGUCUGAAUCGUUCGCUCGCUCUGAAGUGUCCACACACAUCACCAUGGUAAACUCUAGCUCAUUUCUCAUAUUCAUCUUUGAUACCGAGCACCAGGUCAGCUUUUGGCCCCACAGCUGAACCCCCAAAGGUCACACAUAACAUGAUCCAAAAUAUCUCACUAACUUCCUCCCCGUGACCACUAUCACGGCCCAGUGACACGCAAGUCACGAAAUUCCCUUUUCCUCAUAAAAAAAUACAAUCCAAUCGAAGAUCGACUCAGCUCUAACCUCUGGCGUCUGCUGCGCAUAUUCUCCCGCGCGCCUCGCUGACCCUCCCGACAGAGACGGAGACCCCAGUCUCGCCCCGGUUUAACCACUAGGCUCCAAAAACUCAACACUAGGGCUACUCAAGCCUAAAACUCUUCUGCAUCAUGCACUUAUCGGAGAACACUCCAUCAUCACACUCUCUUGCCGUCUAGUGGGUACUAUGGCUUCCCGCAACAUUACGACAACCUCUGACUAGUGAGUACUACGGCUCCCCGUAGUAUCACAACGCCAACUAACUAGUGAGUACUACGGCUCCCCGUAGUACCACGACUCCCUCCCUCUGACUUGUGAGUACUACGGCUCCCCGUAGCAUCACAACACCCUCUGACUGGCAAAUACUACGGCUCCCCGUAGCAUCACGACUCUCUCUCUCUCUCUCUCUCUCUCUGACUUGUGAGUACUACGGCUCCCCGUAGCAUCACAACACCCUCUGACUGGUGAAUACUACGGCUCCCCGUAGCUUCACCCUAUACUCUCAUUCUCAUUACAACGCCACACUAUGUUCACUAACUCAUGCACCGAAGACUAUCAUAGAUAGUUACACACACACUUGCCCCGAUAUGCAUUACAGACUCUGGCGGCAACCGCCAUAACACAGAACCUACCUUUGCGGAGAUCCACUUCCUUAAAUAAUCCCUCUUGAUGACAAUACACGAAGGGCUCCCACUGGAACCGUGGAUACAUGAUACAUCACUAGUCAUCUUAAACCCAAGACUCUAAAUAACUCUGAAAUCGGGACGCUAUACGCGGAAACCACGGAACACCCUAACAGAGCAUCACAAUGUCCUGCCUCUACCACUGAUUCCCUUACUCCCAGCACCAUACACAUACAACAAUACAUUUCCUCUGAAUCCCAUAAUAAUUUCCUAUUUCACUCAAUGCGCAACUUCAGUGCAUCCAAACACUCAAUUGGAAUACAAGGAAGGCGCUAACCCUUCAGAACACACUGAUGAUCCUCCGAAACCCUUUCCACUACUGCUCAAAAUCCAAGCAAGAAUACACAUCCCAGCCCGGGAGUUGGCUACUCGACAAUCUUCUACCCAUAUUUCAACCCAGAAGUUCUCAACUGCCCAUACCAUCAUUACGAGUCUUCCACUUGAAACGACUCUGACCACCACCAGAUUCCUGACCAUUGACCACCCGCCGUGGAGACACCCAUCCUUCUCUCAGGCAUACACCACAUGCAUUAUCUCGCCCUACACCUUUCCUUGACCACCAAUGACCCUGAUCUCUUGAAUUCAAGCCGCAGGUUUCUGCAUCCAACCCCUAACUGCUCUUGCACAAAUCUCUGGUUCUCUCAAUAAACCACCCGGUUCUCCCCCACUUAGGGUUCGAACCAUCACUAUCUGACACAUCAACAACCUCACGAACUAUUUUCACCAGCAAUAACGCACCUGCCCCUGGAAAGUGCUACGCAACGCCCGAUAAUCCCCUUUAAGGAAAUCAAUCGAUCUCAUAACUCUGAACCUCAGAUGAAAUCCUCAAGAACUUCUCGUCACGACUGCCUCUAGUCGUUCCAAGUCUCGUACCAAUCCAAUACCAAACAACUCAACUGUCCAAUAACAUCACUGACUCAUAGACUGGACCACGAAAUCAUCAUACUCCCCCACCUCGACUCAUCAACCGACGUUCCAACACAUGGAUCAUCCCAAGAACAGGGACCCACUCCCAUAUUCAAUACCCAACAUAGAUAGAAAAACCACUGCACUGAUUAACUCGACUGGACUCCCCACUGAUACCUCUACAAUACGCCCUACUAUACUCAAAUAGGUGUAACGUGGUCCUCGACUAUCUCAGUCCCAACUGACUAUCUGCUCAUGGUAAAUCACUGUCUCGCAGCACACAUGCUACCUGAUACCCUGAUGGAAAAUCAUCAUCAAUGACAACCUGCAGGGUUUUACCCCCAAACCCGAAACAUAAACAUCAGGCCUCUCAUGUUCCGCACACGAACAUAAAUAGCACCACUCAGGUCAUAGAAGGUGACAUCUCCUCUAUCGACUGAUUGCUCAACUCAGACCGAAAUUCUCCCCUCCCUCUAACUCCUUACCAAAAUACUCUGAUAUGCUCUCGACCUCCCUCUCAAGGGACGCCUCUUCGAACUCAAUCAUGGCCCACAGGCCUAAAACCCAUAGCGUCCAAUCUCUACCUCAUCAAUCGUGACCGGAUAACCGGAGAACCACAAGCAUCAUUCACUACGAACCAUGGUACUCAUCCCAUGACAUCUCUUCUCAAUAUGCUCCGGUGUAUGGUACCCGAACCAUAGCAUCACUCCUCCAUCUGCUCCGAUGUAUGGUACUCGAACCAUAACAUCAUUCCUUCAUCCGCUCCGAUUUAUGGUACUCGAACCAUAACUUCACUCCUCGAUCCGCUCCGAUGUAUGGUACUCGAACCAUAACAUCACUUCUCAAUCCGCUCCGAUGUAUGGUACUCGAACCAUAACAUCACUCCUCAAUCCGCUCCGAUGUAUGGUACUCGAACCAUAACAUCACUCCUCAAUCCACUUCGAUGUAUGGUACUCGAACCAUAACAUCACUCCUCAAUCCGCUCUGAUGUAUGGUACUCGAACCAUAACAUCACACCUCAAUCCGCUCCGAUGUAUGGUACUCGAACCAUAACAUCACUCCUCAAUCCGCUCCGAUGUAUGGUACUCGAACCAUAACAUCACUCCUCAAUCCGCUCCGAUGUAUGGUACUCGAACCAUAACAUCACUCCUCAAUCUGCUCCGAUGUAUGGUACUCGAACCAUAACAUCACUCCUCAAUCCGCUCCGAUGUAUGGUACUCGAACCAUAACAUCACUCCUCAAUCCACUCAUUAGAACCUUCAGAAUACUCCCUGUAUCAAGUAUGGGUCCUAUGCUUUCAGUAGUACGGGCCCAUACUACCUGCCACAUCUACCCAUACUUUCCACACGGACUAUCCCGGAGCUCCUAAGUAGCUGCUCGACCUUCUCGUUCACCAAUUCCGUCGCGCGCUCGCUCCCCAGCGAAAUUCUCUACCCUGCCAGUGCACUCAUCUGGCUAAGGUUACUCCCUAGGCUCUUCCUAGAUUCCCACACUUCUCUGCCAUCAGCUGCUGAAGAGCUCCUAAUGAUGCCAGCCAUCUACCUCCUGAAUAUCGUCAUAUUUGCUUGGUAGCUGACUCCCAUCAUCGAGAGUUCCACAAAGCACGAAGCAAGCAGCAUUCGAGCAUCAAAGAAUACAUAUGAAUCACUCUGGGUGAUAACUCCGCUUACUCUGCUCAUCCUCGGAAGUACCACCGAACACUGUAACUCUUCCCCUCGCAGGUUCUAACUAUUCUUUCGCUAAGAACCAAGGUAUUCAUCUAGGUAUCUCCCCUAGAUUACUCCUCUACUCAAAUCCCCUAAAGGAUUCCAAUCAAAUAUUCUCACUCAUCACAUACUCAAAAGCACAUCGCAUAUCACAGCAAUUCCUAGGCUAAGGCAUCACAAAUCAGGCCACUCUAGUCCUAAGAUAUGGAAUACCUAGCCUGUCUCUAGCAUGCAAUAAUAUCUCAUAAAGUGCAUCAUAAAUAUCUCAUGACACAAAAGUAAGGGUAUUUUGGGAAAUCACCGUUUGGGCUCUGGCUGAUUGUACACACUGCUCUUUCUCGUUUUCUCUUUGAACUCCUAUUCGCUUUAGAAAAUUAUUUCUUUGAAAACUUUUCUUACUUCCUCAGUUUGAGUCCAGAUUUACCCGAAGGUGCAUCCGAAUCCCUCAAACCAAGGCUCUGAUACCAACUUGUAACACCGAAAAUUUCAAAACAAUUUUUCAUUUAAAAAUAAUCGUUUAAUUCUUAAAAACACUUUGCUUAAAAUCUCAUUCAUAAUCGAAUUACAAAACAUAACUCCAUUUUCACUUGCAUAAUAAACCAGGAUCCUCUGAACAUGACUCUUUCUCUGGUGUGUACAAUCGAGUCGGUGCCGUCCCGUGAUCCUGAGAGAAACCUGAAACACAUAACACAAAACACUAUAAGCACGAAGCUUAGUGAGUUCCCCAAAAUACCACACAUAACACAUAUUAGCCACUCGAGGCUAUAACUCUGUGGGUCCGUGGACCCUACUCUAUGAACCCUCUGGUUCUAACUCUGUGAACCUUCCGGUUCUAACUCUGGGAACCUUCCGGUUCUAACUCUGUAAACAUGCACAACAUAAAUCACAUAGAAAUAAUGCAGUACAACACAUAACAUACAUAGCAUACAAAUACUCUGUCACAUAACUCUGGUUACCUACUCAAGGUAAAGUAUAGUGAGAAGACUCACCUGGCAAGCAGAAAGCAGAUAUCCCCACACUUGAAUCUCGAACUCGCCACCGCCUAACACAUAAGGCAAAUACUCUCAUGAAUAUAACUCUCGAGACUAGAAUCAACCCUCUCUUGGCACCCUCUUAAGGGUAAAAGACCAUUUUACCCCUCUCUUGGCCCAAAGGCCACAUCGCUGACCAAACCCUAAAAGUCAACAAAAGUCAACGGUCAACUUUGACCGGACUCGGCGAGUGCACUAGGGCGACUCGGCGAGUCUAUACGUGUCCACUGACUCCCUUGGAUCCUCUCUUGACACGUCGAGUAUUUCUCUGACUCGACGAGUUUCACCUGGCAUAAAUCGCGGGGCCACCACGACUCAACUCGCCGAGUCUCAAGAACAACUCGGCGAGUUCCGGCUUGACUCAGUCCCCCCUGACUCUCCCUGACUCACUGAGUCGACCCCUCAACUCGACAAGACCACUCGCUGAGUGGUUACGGGCAAACUUCAUGCUACUCGCCGAGUCUGUUCUUCAGACUCGGCGAGUCCAUGCCAUGCAUAACUCAAACUCACUUCUGAGGUCAGAUCUGUUCCAUACAAUCAUAGAUCUGGCCUCCCCAGGCAUGAUAAUCACUUAAAGUCCAAACCUUGGUGCUCAAACAACGACUAUUUGCUCCUAGAUGAUGUUUUAGCCCCAUAUCUCAUAACUCUAGGUCAAAACUCCCAUGAAUCCUCAUAAAGCUUAAGGAAUAAAGCUUCUCUGGACCUCUAUGGAUCUCAUCCCAAGCCUCAUCACAAAUAGGGACGAAAUGGACAUCAAAUCUAACCAACAAAGGGGUCAAGAAACCCUAACCCCCAUGUUUAUCAUGACAAC
rnacentral:lncRNA from 1 species